AACGUAGGUGGCAAGCGUUAUCCGGAUUUAUUGGGCGUAAAGAGCUCGUAGGCGGUUCGAUAAGUCGGACGUGAAAUCUCCACGCUCAACGUGGAGGGGCCGUUCGAUACUGUCGUGACUCGAGUCCGGUAGGGGAGUGUGGAAUUCCCGGUGUAGCGGUGAAAUGCGCAGAGAUCGGGAGGAACACCCGUAGCGAAGGCGGCACUCUGGGCCGGUACUGACGCUGAGGAGCGAAAGCGUGGGGAGCAAACAGG
rnacentral:rRNA from 1 species